rnacentral:rRNA from 1 species
AACGAACGCUGGUGGCGUGCUUAACACAUGCAAGUCGAACGAGAAAGUUUCCUUCGGGAAAUUAGUAAAGUGGCGCAAGGGUGAGUAUCACGUGAAUAAUCUGCCCUCGAGAUCGGGAUAACAUGGUGAAAACUAUGCUAAUACCGGAUAAGACCACAUUUCAUAAGAAAUGCGGUAAAAGGAGUCUCAAUCUUCACUUGAGGAUGAGUUCGCGCAACAUUAGCUUGUUGGUGAGAUAAAAGCUCACCAAGGCUACGAUGUUUAGCCGGCCUGAGAGGGUGAACGGCCACACUGGAACUGAGACACGGACCAGACUUCUACGGAAGGCAGCAGUAAGGAAUAUUGGACAAUGGAGGCAACUCUGAUCCAGCCAUGCCGCGUGCAGGAAG